UUUAAUAAAAGUUGUCCAAAUAUGAUAUUUACAUCUUUGACCACUCAAUUACAAUAACCACAACAACUGUUGUCAUAAGUCGUAAUUGUAGUUCAACUAUGUGUAAUUUAUUAUUUUGACAAUACUUGUUACAUGAUUUUUAACAAUGUUACAUAUCAAGAAAGAGUGUGUUGUUAAUAUGGUAAAUUUUAUUUUUAAAAAUGACACAUGUCGAUAUUUAAUUGGGUAACCUGUUGACCGGUUCAGUAGGUUUCCACUAUAUUAAUUUACUAAAAGUAAAAAAAAAUAAAAAAAAUAAGGGCAUGGCAAACACCAAGGUACCCAAGACGACCCCGAUAAGUGAAUUGGUUAGUGUAGGCAAGAUUAUUCUGAUAAUUAUGUUGUAGUUUAGUUCUCAGCAAUGUUAAAAAGAUUGCUUGCGAAUUGAUUUGAAAUUUCCUAUUCUUUAGAUUGAUUAUCAAUGCAUGUUGCUAUAUUCUACUAUCUUUAUAUUCAUCAAUAUGCACCAAAGAAUUUCUCAUGAAAAUCAUCUUCAUAUCUCUGUAACAGAACUCGUUGAAAUGGGAUCCUUACAUUCAAUGUCUUUUCAAUAGUGGAUGUGGAAUAGUUCUAAUUUCAUGUGUUUCUAAAACAUGAGCAAGCUAAUUCUGAUAUAAAGCUAAUGUCUUUACAUUAUUUGGGUUAUUAUUAUUAUUAUAAAAAUACUAGUUUUGUGAUUCUUUUGUGAAUUUCAGUACAGGAACUGCAGAAAAUAAAGGAAGAGUUGUUGGAGUUGAAAAGGAAGAGACCACUAGAUCCCCUAGCUGAGGAACUUCACGAACAAAGAAACCCUUUUUUAGUUGCCCAGCAUUUGCAUUUUGUGCUGCUAUGAUGAUGAUAACAUUGUGCCGGUUACACAGUAAAAGUCUCACAUACAGGACAAUUGGCAUAUAUAGGAGUUCAGAGGAGGACAAGCUGGUAUUUUGCAGAGCUAAAAUAACCAGAUUUGUGCCUGAAAAUGCAUGGUUCUAUGCAGCCGUCCUUCAAAGCAAAUGAAGAAAAAGCCAGAGUCAACUACUAAUCUGCCCAGAUCAUGAAAUGCAGCAGCCACUUUACAUGUAAAACGCAAUCCAAAAUUUAGAUUAGCAUCUUCAAUUUUAAAACUAUCAUGAAAGAUGGAAUAUGAUAGCCUAAGCAAACUGUGUAACAUUGUUCCUUUACAGUUUGUUUCAACAUCUAUAUCAAAAAAUAAGCAAAACUGUA